UACAGAGGUCUCAAGCGUUGUUCGGAUUCAUUGGGCGUAAAGGGUGUGUAGGUGGCGCCGUAAGUCGGGUGUGAAAUUUCGAGGCUUAACCUCGAAACUGCAUUCGAUACUGCGGUGCUUGAGGACUGGAGAGGAGACUGGAAUUUACGGUGUAGCGGUGAAAUGCGUAGAUAUCGUAAGGAAGACCAGUGGCGAAGGCGGGUCUCUGGACAGUUCCUGACGCUGAGGCACGAAGGUCAGGGGAGCAAACGGG
rnacentral:rRNA from 1 species